UCCUACGGGAGGCAGCAGUAGGGAAUCUUCCACAAUGGACGAAAGUCUGAUGGAGCAACGCCGCGUGAGCGAUGAAGGCCUUCGGGUCGUAAAGCUCUGUUGUUAGGGAAGAACAAGUACCGGAGUAACUGCCGGUACCUUGACGGUACCUAACCAGAAAGCCACGGCUAACUACGUGCCAGCAGCCGCGGUAAUACGUAGGUGGCAAGCGUUGUCCGGAAUUAUUGGGCGUAAAGCGCGCGCAGGCGGUCCUUUAAGUCUGAUGUGAAAGCCCACGGCUCAACCGUGGAGGGUCAUUGGAAACUGGGGGACUUGAGUGCAGAAGAGGAAAGCGGAAUUCCACGUGUAGCGGUGAAAUGCGUAGAGAUGUGGAGGAACACCAGUGGCGAAGGCGGCUUUCUGGUCUGUAACUGACGCUGAGGCGCGAAAGCGUGGGGAGCAAACAGGAUUAGAUACCCUGGUAGUCCACGCCGUAAACGAUGAGUGCUAAGUGUUAGGGGGUUUCCGCCCCUUAGUGCUGCAGCUAACGCAUUAAGCACUCCGCCUG
rnacentral:rRNA from 1 species